rnacentral:rRNA from 1 species
CAGUGCCGCGGUAAUACGUAGGUGGCAAGCGUUGUCCGGAAUUAUUGGGCGUAAAGGGCUCGCAGGCGGUUUCUUAAGUCCGAUGUGAAAGCCCCCGGCUCAACCGGGGAGGGUCAUUGGAAACUGGGAAACUUGAGUGCAGAAGAGGAGAGUGGAAUUCCACGUGUAGCGGUGAAAUGCGUAGAGAUGUGGAGGAACACCAGUGGCGAAGGCGACUCUCUGGUCUGUAACUGACGCUGAGGAGCGAAAGCGUGGGGAGCGAACAGGAUUAGAUACCCCAGUAGUCCCUGUCUCUUAUACA